GCGGAGGUGGUGGAAUGGCAGACACGCAGGUCUCAGAAGCCUGUGCCGCAAGGUGUGAGGGUUCAACUCCCUCCCUCCGCACCA
rnacentral:tRNA from 2 species